AACGCACAUUGCGCCUUUUGGUAUUCCGAGAGGCAUGUCUGUUUGAGCGUCAGUACACACCUCCUUCUGGACUUUGCUGUCUGCGAAGGGUUGUGGGGAUGGCCGGCAACGGUCUCCCUCAAUACAGCACGCUUGCGGGCUCCCACACAGAUGUCAACGUAGUAAACUUAAAAGCUCGCUGUCUUGUCCUGUGGGAAGCUCUGCCUGAAACCCAAACUUCUUAGGUUUGACCUCAGAUCAGACAAGGAUACCCGCUGAACUUAA
rnacentral:misc_RNA from 1 species